rnacentral:rRNA from 1 species
AUUGAACGUUGGCGGCAGGCCUAACACAUGCAAGUCGAGCGGAUGAAGGGAGCUUGCUCCUGGAUUCAGCGGCGGACGGGUGAGUAAUGCCUAGGAAUCUGCCUGGUAGUGGGGGAUAACGUCCGGAAACGGGCGCUAAUACCGCAUACGUCCUGAGGGAGAAAGUGGGGGAUCUUCGGACCUCACGCUCUCAGAUGAGCCUAGGUCGGAUUAGCUAGUUUGUGGGGUAAAGGCCUACCAAGGCGACGAUCCGUAACUGGUCUGAGAGGAUGAUCAGUCACACUGGAACUGAGACACGGUCCAGACUCCUACGGGAGGCAGCAGUGGGGAAUAUUGGACAAUGGGCGAAAGCCUGAUCCAGCCAUGCCGCGUGUGUGAAGAAGGUCUUCGGAUUGUAAAGCACUUUAAGUUGGGAGGAAGGGCAGUAAGUUAAUACCUUGCUGUUUUGACGUUACCAACAGAAUAAGCACCGGCUAACUUCGUG